GGGGAAUUAGCUCAGCUGGUUAGAGCGUUACGUUGACAUCGUAGAGGUCGUAGGUUCGAGCCCUAUAUUCCCCACCA
rnacentral:tRNA from 1 species